rnacentral:lncRNA from 1 species
UUGGUCAAUCAUUUGGUAUUGAAGCAACACUUGUACACGUUUUGUAUGGAUGAAAGAACGUCCAUUAGGGCUCACAUUAAUGGGUUUAUUACACUUCUAAAUGACCUAAAGAACGUCGAUUUUAAUGGAACGACAAAAAUGUGCAAGUGUACACAAUCAUAUCAAGUAAUAAAGUGACAAGUAAAUGUUGAGUUAUCGUAUCCACA